UGACAAAGUUCAACGGCCGCGGUACCCUAACCGUGCGAAGGUAGCAUAAUCACUUGUUCUUUAAAUGAGGACUCGUAUCAACGGCACUACGAGGGCUAUACUGUCUCCUUUUUCUAAUCAGUGAAACUGAUCUCCCCGUGAAGAAGCGGGGAUCAAAAUAUAAGACGAGAAGACCCCAUGGAGCUUUAAACUCACUAUACACCUCUGUGCCUUUAUGUCACUAGACACAAGAGAUCUGCGUACUAGUUUUAGGUUGGGGGGACCACGGAGUAUAAUUUAGCCUCCAUAACAAAUGGGCUAACACCCUUAUCUACGAGACACAACUCUAAGAAUUACUAAACUAAUGCUUAUGACCCGAUAUUCGAUCAAUGAACCAAGUUACCCUGGGGAUAACAGCGCAAUCUACUUCAAGAGCCCAUAUCGACAAGUGGGUUUACGACCUCGAUGUUGGAUCAGGGUAUCCCGGUGGUGCAGCCGCUACCGACGGUUCGUUUGUUCAACGAUUAAAACCCUACGUGAUCUGAG
rnacentral:rRNA from 1 species